rnacentral:rRNA from 1 species
UACGUAGGCAGCAAGCGUUGUUCGGAAUUACUGGGCGUAAAGAGUGUGUAGGCGGUGCUCUAAGUUCGGUGUGAAAUCUCCCGCUUAACUGGGAGGGUGCGCCGGAAACUGGAGUGCUCGAGCGUGGGAGAGGAAAGCGGAAUUCCUGGUGUAGCGGUGAAAUGCGUAGAUAUCAAGAGGAACACCAGUGGCGAAAGCGAGUCUCUGGACAAUUCCUGACACUGAGGCACGAAAGCUAGGGGAGCAAACAGG